GACCAAUAUAAACUGUGGCGGGAGAUUCGUUUUCGGGGCCUUGUCCCGUGAAACAUCUUCGGCUGGGGAGUCAGUUGGUUGUUCUCAUCUCGUGUUUGAACAUGGUGCGAACUAAAGCAGACGGUGUCCCUGGCACCUACAGAAAAGUGGUGGCUUCUCGAGCCCCCAGGAAGGUGCUUGGUUCCUCCACCUCUGCCACUAACUCCACGCCGCUUUCGUCAAGGAAAGCUGAAAAUAAGUACGCAGGAGGGAAUCCAGUUUGUGUGCGCCCAACUCCCAAGUGGCAAAAAGGAAUCGGAGAAUUCUUCAGGCUGUCCCCUAAAGAUUCAGAAAAAGAGAAUAGGAUUCCUGAGGAGGCAGGAAGCAGUGGCUUGGGAAAAGCGAAGAGAAAAGAAUGUUGAGACUCCCAAAUUGGACUAGUUUAAAGAGCAUCUGAAGGAUUUGACCAGAUAAUGAAAGCCAAUAUUAAAUCUGCUGGAGUUUCAUGUACAAGACUGGAAAGAGACAACAUCGAGAAUUAAUGAUGUGAUUAAGUAUAACUUAAGAAAUAUGGACACUUCAAACUGUACCUUGCAAAUAAGAAUAAUUUCAUCUUCAUCUAGAGAAAAAGGAUGAGCUAUGGAAUGGAGAUUCAGUUUCCAUUUUGUUCACGAAAUCUAGAAGGCGGUAAAAUGAUUAGAUCAUGUCCUUUGCCACCUGAUCAUACAGAUGAUGAAAAUGAAUAGAAAUUACUUAUUCACUCUUGACUGAUGUCUCCUGUUUACUCUGGUAUUCUAGGAUGUAAAUUUGCAUAAACGUACUUGUUCCAAUUAGCUUUGUUGAAUAAGCAUUUAAGUUAAAAAAUGAGGCUUACAUUUAGUUAUUCAAAAGCAAGUAGUUUUGAUAUUGGAAAGUUUAUAAGAUUAAUUGUGGUUACUUAACUUAGUAUUCAGUAUAAUGCAGUAUUCGGUUUCUUUUACCUGUUAAGCUUUUGCUUGCUAGAAUUAUUGCAUGGUGUUCUAAUUAUGAAUCUGCUGUAUUUGAGAUUUGCUUAGAUUUUUGUACUGUUGCCAUUUUUAUUGGCAUUUGAUUAUUGGAGUGAUGCCAUAUUUUUGUUCCUUUUAUUUGCUUUAAAAAGCAGAGGUAGAUUUUUUGCACAUUAAAAAAGUCAGUAUUAAUUAAACUGAACCCAUACCCUUUUUAAGAAAGGGGGCCAAAUAUGCAAUGUUGAAAAAAUUUGGAUGGCUGUCUACCUUCUUCUUAGAAAAAUUUAAGGGCAGUUUUGUCCUAAGGAUUUAAAGGGUUGAUGAACCUUCUAAAAACAACAACAAAAAGAUAAAAUACUAGCAUAGAAUUGGGCAGGAAAAUUCCAUAGACUACAUUAAAAGAGAGGAAUUUUCCUAGAAUAUGCAUUUGACUUAGUCAUAAAAUAUUACCCUUUGGGCCUAUACUUUUCAAGUUGGAAAUGAAUAAAAUAUGAAAGGCAAAUCAUGCCAUAAACCCAGAACUAUGUCUAAAGUCCUUAGAGCUACUAUUAUAUUUUUCAAGAUAAUCAAGGGUAUAGUUGAAGAGGUGGGUAUAAUAGUGCUUAGUAACUGGUAUUCUUGCUUCCUCAUCAGGCUUUUUGCUCACUGACAUCCUGUUAUCAAAACUAACCAUGUUUAACAGGAAUGCUUUCCUGAAGUUUGUUUUUAAUAAACAAAUACUCAUUGUCACAAUACUAUCCAUAUGUGUGCUUUCUAAGAUUAUAUCCUACUAGGUAUUUCUAUUUUAUUCCUUCCAAAUGCAAAUUACUGUACUGACCUGAUUUUAUCAACUUCCAAAAUAAGUCCUUAUGACUGUAGAUUGUAUUUUUUGCUUUGUCUUUUAGAGGUGGGUAUUAAACGUAAUGAUACUGAAUUGAGACCAGAGUUUUCAUCCUAAGUGCUUCCUUGACAAUUAGGCUUUUGAUGGGUAUGAAACCUGAUUUGCUAUUUUUCAUUGAUGGAGAGAGAAACUUUAUGGUGGUGUGUCCAAUGAAGUCUAAUUUUGGUAUGUAAUUGUUUCCAAAAAAUUUGACCUAAAGAACCUACAGUCUUUUCAAAUACAAUCCUUUCAAAAUAUAUAAUACUUGGUGAUGUCUAACUUUAUUAGGCAGAGGUCCCAUGUAAUCUGUUUCCUUGUCAAAGGUUUUUUAAAAUGUAGAUUGUCAAUUUAGCCUCUUCUAAACAUAAGAGAAGUACAGACUCCCCAUUUACAUUGAAAUUGAAUCAAAAAAUAAAGUUUAUACAUUAAAAAUAUAAAGUAAGUUUUAAUUUUGUACCCUUCACAAAGUUAACCUGGUUUUCAUUUUUGAAUGGAUUAUUCAAAUAAUUAAUGUUAGUGUUCAAUUCUGGAGCAAACAAUGAUUAAAGCUACUUUUAUGGAAUUUUUGAAUGCUAAUGGAAUUCGUGAGGAUCAUAUGAAUUUUGUGUUACAUAGUUUUCACAAGGAAGAUAAUACUAUAGUGAAAAUUAUAAAGUAUGCCCAGAGUUAUUUAUGAGAUGACAAAUACUUGUCAUUUUUCUAAAAAGCAGAAAAUAAGCCUAAACUAACUGAACUUUUCCCAUAUGUAUAUAUACACUGCUUAUAAAUCUCACUGUACUUAAAAUUCUUCACGCUAACUCACUUUUGGAAAAAUUGAAGAUUCAGCUGGACCUUGGUCCAACCAACAUUGUUAAAAUGGUUCCUGGGCUUCCCUGGUGGCGCAGUG